UACGUAGGGGGCAAGCGUUGUCCGGAUUUAUUGGGCGUAAAGCGCUCGCAGGUGGCCCGAUGCGUCGUGCGUGAAAGACCCCGGCUCAACUGGGGAGUGUCGUGCGAUACGGUCGGGCUGGAGGCCAGUAGGGGGAUGCGGAAUUCCGGGUGUAGUGGUGGAAUGCGUAGAGAUCCGGAGGAACACCAGCGGCGAAGGCGGCAUCCUGGACUGGUCCUGACGCUGAGGCGCGAAAGCUAGGGGAGCAAACGGG
rnacentral:rRNA from 1 species